rnacentral:rRNA from 1 species
AACGAACGCUGGCGGCAGGCUUAACACAUGCAAGUCGAGCGCCCCGCAAGGGGAGCGGCAGACGGGUGAGUAACGCGUGGGAAUCUACCCAGUUCUACGGAAUAACACAGGGAAACUUGUGCUAAUACCGUAUACGCCCUACGGGGGAAAGAUUUAUCGGAAUUGGAUGAGCCCGCGUUGGAUUAGCUAGUUGGUGGGGUAAUGGCCUACCAAGGCGACGAUCCAUAGCUGGUCUGAGAGGAUGAUCAGCCACACUGGGACUGAGACACGGCCCAGACUCCUACGGGAGGCAGCAGUGGGGAAUAUUGGACAAUGGGCGAAAGCCUGAUCCAGCCAAUGCCGCGUGAGUGAUGAAGGCCCUAGGGUUGUAAAAGCUCUUUUCAGUGGGGAGAUAAUGACGGUACCCACCGAGAAGCCCCGGCUAACUUCGUGCCAGCAG